GAAAAUAAUUACCCAGGGGAUUGUUUUGGCAGAAUGGAGCUACCAAGGAGUUUUCAGUAAAACAAGAACCUCUGUUCACAUGCAAGCUCGUGAUUGGUUUUGACCAAGAGAUUACAGUUAUCCUGCUGUCAUCACGUGGAAAAGCUUGACUUUGCCUCUUGCUGUCAGAAACCAAAUGGAGAAAAACAUCUUCAGGCAGCAUCUAACUCCAGACAGGGUCUGGAGCGAUAGCACAGCGGUUGGGCGUUCGCCUUUCAUGCGGCCGACCCGAGUUCGAUUCCUCCGCCCCCUCGGAGAUCCCGGCAAGCUACCGAGAGUAUCGAGCCCGAGAGGCAGAGCCUGGCCAACUACCCGUAGCGUAUUG